CAGCAGCCACGGUAAUGCGUAGGUGGCAAGCGUUGUCCGGAAUUAUUGGGCGUAAAGGGCUCGCAGGCGGUUUCUUAAGUCUGAUGUGAAAGCCCCCGGCUCAACCGGGGAGGGUCAUUGGAAACUGGGAAACUUGAGUGCAGAAGAGGAGAGUGGAAUUCCACGUGUAGCGGUGAAAUGCGUAGAGAUGUGGAGGAACACCAGUGGCGAAGGCGACUCUCUGGUCUGUAACUGACGCUGAGGAGCGAAAGCGUGGGAAGCGAACAGGAUUAGAUACCCGCGUAGUCCCUGUCUCUUAUAC
rnacentral:rRNA from 1 species